rnacentral:sRNA from 1 species
UAGAAACGAGGCCUGGAGAACACCUUGCACGAUGCCAAGCACUGGCAUGACAUGGAGCUCCAGAACCUGGGCGCUGUGGUCGGCCGGCUGGAGGCGGAGCUCAGGGAAAUCCGCGCGGAGGCGGAGCAGCAGCAACAGGAGCGCGCGCAUCUGCUGGCCCGCAAGUGCCAGCUGCAGAAGGACGUGGCGUCCUACCACGCCCUGCUGGACAGGGAGGAGAGCGGCUGAUGGAGAAACUUCCUUCCUCUUUUUCAUGAAGAAAACACCCUUCCUCAACAGCUGACCCAAGAAGUUGCUUGAGGAGCUUUCUCCUGAGCUCCAGUCCCUGCUGGAUUCCCUGGUUAAUUCAGCUUGAGCCGAAAAGCUUCCUGGAAGUGGAGAGGAUCCUUCUGCUUUAAUCUGAGUAGUCUGUAGCUUGAGCAAUCUCCCUUGUCCUCCUUCAAAUAAAUGCUUUGUGCGCAGCGUC